ensembl:lncRNA
ACAAAUUAUCCAAAUGUUGACCCAUAAAGCUGGAAGAAAAGCAGUACUUGACAGUUAUGCUCCGAUGACAAGAAUAUAUUAACUGGAAACCUGUGGCCCAAACAUGUGUAAAACAAAUAGAAGCAUUAUUUGUUGAUGAGUUACAACUUCUACACAUUUCGCAGUUACAGGAAAUCUUUCACAUGCAGGAGAUAUCCGGCUGCAGCCGUGAUUAGUUUGGAAUCAAACUACAUUCUCAGGUCGGACUGCCAUUUAAUGGCGGACGGAUCAAACUACUGAAGCGAUGUGACAUUACCGGCCAUGAGGACUGAUUACGAGGCGAUCUCCUGCAGUGCAAAGAAAACAUUACCGCAAAGAAAGGCGCGUGAAAACACAAUAAUACAUUGUGCCGCGAUCUCCUGCAGAACUACAUUGCACGUUUGUGUUUGAUCGUUUGCCUCCCAGCCAGCCUGAUUAUGAGCAGGCGUGCUUGUACGCAUAUGCUUCUAUAUUUGCAUGUUUACAUCUUUGUGUGUGUGUGCGCUUUAAAACCUGUAACGGCGUCCCUUCGUGUUAUCCUGUGUAACACAGUCUUGGUCUUCAUUAUCAUUUCUCCCAGGGCCUUUUCUGGUGUUCAGAGCCCCACCAGAGGGGCCUUUGGCUCGGUGGGAGAGGUGUCGGAGGCGGCCUGGCCCCGCUGUGCUCCUUCCUUCCCCCCUCCGCAGGGCGCCAGGCACAGCGUGUACCCGUGGCAAGCCAAGCCUGACGAUGAGGCUGCCUGCACAGCCAACGCCGUGUUUGAACUGGGCAGGGGGUUGCCACGUCGUGCCGAACACACACGUGCAGGAAGGCACACGCACUUCGGCGCGGCCGACUCCCGGUGAGCUCGACACAUGUUUGGAAGAUGCCACGGAGGAGGUGGGCAGCAGGGCAACGAGGCUCUUAGCACCAGUGUCUUUGGGAAUUCCGCCGUGUUCCCUGGAGGAGAUGGAGGAGAUAGGCCUGGCGCCUCCGAAGGCAUCCCCCGCCCUCUCUCUCUCUUUCUUCCUCACCCACUCUGCUUAUCUUAGGGAAACCACAAUGGGGUUUUGCACACCGGAGCAAGACGAGGGGGGCUUCAGAUGGCAGCCGAGUGUGGCCCUGCACGAGGACAGAGGGCGAGAGAAUCACUCCUCUUCUGUUCCACAUCCCCGAUAACGUGCAACACAACACACAUCUGCAGUAAUGAAGCGCAGCUCCGCGGUCACGCUGCAUGGAUGACACACACUGCUUCAACGCAAACACGAGUGAUUCUACUUAUAGUUUGGUCUCGAGCAGUUUGAAAAGAAGUUUUUACUUCUCGAGCAGUUAAGGGGGUCUGACAGUGUUCAGCUAGACUUUGAAAUGCUUCCAAAUUUGUGCCCACUAUGUCUGGUUCCGGGAUAUGGGCCUCACUGGUUUCCAGUGGCAUGCCAUUAUUUCAGAUAAAUGGCUGUUGUUGUGGUUAGCCGGAUGGUACAAAGGGACAGGAUCGGCCAUACGAGGGACAAACCAGGUGCCGGCUAAGCAAUGAGCAAUUAGAUUUGGCUUAGUAAAGAUCUGUCCACUAAUCACCUUCCUUACAAAUGGCCUGGUCGCUGAUGCUUGGAGGACCACAGAAGAGCAAAGCGGUGAUGACACAUGCGGCAUGACGACGGGCUGCAGUCGGCAACAGGGGUGAAGGCUGUAAAAUGUCUGCAAAAAAGGUUCUUGGGCAAAACUGCGCAACCUCAGCCUGCAAAAGAAAUAUGCCCAGCAUGCUUUCUAUAGGACUAUAAAAAACGUAUGUGUCUUUUGGGUUACAGGUUUUGUGUCGCAAGGGGCAAACUUUAACAACCUACAGAACACCACAAGCUAAUCCCACUGAGCUCCCCAUAAAACGGAUCUGCUGCAAAGCCCCACAACCUUACCGAUUGCAGAAGCCAAAGGUUGUGCCCUUUCAUGUAUUUCCUCAGAGCCGGUAAAUUGGAGAGCCUGUCGUUGUAAUAGGAAAAAGCCUCGAAGAUACUUGAGUCCCCCUGACGAAGAGAAUAGCAAUUAUUCUGGAAAAUCAAUUUCUGACCCAAUUUUUCUUCCUUAUCGACCAAGAGGCUCUUCGCAGGCAGAGAAGGUGACACGGAAAUGUAUCUCCUAGAUUCUAUUAGCGGAUCUCUAUUUGCUACUUGCAUCUCUGUUUUUGUCGAGACUUUGACCAGCCAUAAACACAUCCAGGAAAGUCACUCUAUAUGAAAAUUGAUUUUUUCUUUUUCUACUUUCCAGAAGCUCAUUUAUUUUCAUUGAUUAUAUGCUUGUACUUUCCAUUACACGUUCCGUUUGUUGAAGUGUUGGCAUGAAUGAACGGGCACUUUCAUUGCUACCGCCAUCUACUGAAAUAAAUGCACGUAUUCAAUACAAACUGUUCUCUGCUCCACCCUUCUCCCGAGUAGUUUGUGUUAAAUAAAACUAUAGCGGCUGCACUGUAGGCGCUGUUACUUUUAGGCUGUUACCUUUUCAUGAUAAUUCCCACAGUCUUAUCAGUGUUUAUUUUCCCAGUGUGAAAAGCCUAUUGCUCCCGCAUUCUUCAUGCAUGUCAUUCUUUGACCAAGAUUUAUUGUUGUUCAUCCCAUCAAUACGUCAAGCUAUGACGUAAACGGGCUGCCGAGUACGGCAGUGAUCAUUUUGACCGGCUUCCUAUCACUUAGCUUAGUCGUAUCUUAGACUCUUUCGUCUCUGGCCAUCCGUCUUCUGGUGUUUUCUUGACCCACUGCAGUGUACCCCUACACUAUUUGUGCAAGUGUGCAAAUUAAACAAUGUACG